rnacentral:lncRNA from 1 species
ACACCGUCAUGAAGUCCUGCUCCUACAAGUCCUUUUGCGACAAAGCGCACCAGAGCAACUCGGGCGUUAAGAUGGACUGCUGCUUCUCUGAUGACUGCAACGGGCCGCCCAAGGGCCGCAGCGCCAGCCAAGGGGGUCGCAAUGUGGGCUCUGUCCUGCACUGCAGCCCCACCCUCAUGCUUGGGGUGCUGUUGGUCAAGCUGCUCUUCAGCAAACUCUAAGAAAGGACAUAGCCCAACACAUAAUACCCCCCACCUUGUUCUCCUUUCCUUUCCACUCUCUAUCAGAUUCUCCGUGGUUUCAUAUACUGUAGGUCCUGUUCGCGUGUUUCAU